rnacentral:rRNA from 1 species
CCAAAAAAAAAAAAAAAGGCUUGAACGAGGGGGGGGGGGGGGGCCCGUACAGUCUCCGGAUUCAUAAGGAGAGGGGGGAGUAAUAACCGGAACCCCCUAAGGGAGGAAAAUGGAAAAUGUUUUCACCAACAUUUUUCCGCAAGAAAAGAGAAGGGCUUGGGGUUCGAAAGGAAGCCCCCCGUCCAUUAUUAGUGGGAGGAACGCUCCACAAGGCCCCGUCCCACCCGCCUGGGAGGUUAUCGCCCCAGGGGGAUGAACACCGCCCAAUCUCCUGGGGGAGCAGAGUAGGAAUUUUGGCAAAGGAAGAAUUUUGACCGAACAACGCCGGUUGAUGAAGAAGUUUUCGGAUCGUAAAAUUUUGUUGUUAGAGAGAACAAGGACGUUAGUAACUGAACGUCCCCUGACGGUAUCUAACCAGAAAGCCAGGGCUAAUUACGUGCCAGCAGCGGCGGUAAUACGUAGGUGGCAAGCGUUGUCCGGAUUUAUUGGGCGUAAAGCGAGCGCAGGCGGUUUCUUAAGUCUGAUGUGAAAGCCCCCGGCUCAACCGGGGAGGGUCAUUGGAAACUGGGAGACUUGAGUGCAGAAGAGGAGAGUGGAAUUCCAUGUGUAGCGGUGAAAUGCGUAGAUAUAUGGAGGAACACCAGUGGCGAAGGCGGCUCUCUGGUCUGUAACUGACGCUGAGGCUCGAAAGCGUGGGGAGCAAACAGGAUUAGAUACCCUGGUAGUCCACGCCGUAAACGAUGAGUGCUAAGUGUUGGAGGGUUUCCGCCCUUCAGUGCUGCAGCAAACGCAUUAAGCACUCCGCCUGGGGAGUACGACCGCAAGGUUGAAACUCAAAGGAAUUGACGGGGGCCCGCACAAGCGGUGGAGCAUGUGGUUUAAUUCGAAGCAACGCGAAGAACCUUACCAGGUCUUGACAUCCUUUGACCACUCUAGAGAUAGAGCUUUCCCUUCGGGGACAAAGUGACAGGUGGUGCAUGGUUGUCGUCAGCUCGUGUCGUGAGAUGUUGGGUUAAGUCCCGCAACGAGCGCAACCCUUAUUGUUAGUUGCCAUCAUUUAGUUGGGCACUCUAGCGAGACUGCCGGUGACAAACCGGAGGAAGGUGGGGAUGACGUCAAAUCAUCAUGCCCCUUAUGACCUGGGCUACACACGUGCUACAAUGGGAAGUACAACGAGUCGCUAGACCGCGAGGUCAUGCAAAUCUCUUAAAGCUUCUCUCAGUUCGGAUUGCAGGCUGCAACUCGCCUGCAUGAAGCCGGAAUCGCUAGUAAUCGCGGAUCAGCACGCCGCGGUGAAUACGUUCCCGGGCCUUGUACACACCGCCCGUCACACCACGAGAGUUUGUAACACCCGAAGUCGGUGAGGUAACCUUUUUGGAGCCAGCCGCCUAAGGUGGGAUAGAAUGAUUGGGGAGCGCCAA